ensembl:lncRNA
UGACUUCCUUAAUAGAAGAUUAAAGCAUUCCUGAACUUAGUUAUACAGUUGAUUCUCAUUAUUUGCAGGAUUCGUAGUUGUGAAGUCACCUUGAAUGAACUUGUCAAAGUUCACUUGUCAACUUGAAAAUCCAUACUCCCAAUGCUUUCAUAAUCACUUGUGGACAUGCGUGUUGUGGUGUGAUGAAAAACUGAGUCACCAGUCAAUAUGCCUAGUUGAGGUUAAAGAAGGUGACAUUCUGUCUUCUUGUUUUAGCUCUCUUACUGAAAAUGAGUGUCUACUUCAAGAUCUACCUAGAGUCAUGUUUUUAUAUCUUUGUGCUUUUUGUUGAUGAUUUCACUGUUUAAAAUGGCACCCAAGAACAAUGCUGAAGGGCUACCUCGAGUUAAACGUUUUGGCUGAGUUAAUAAAUCAAUAGUGUCGUAAAUAAGGUAUCUUUAAACAGAAACAUGCAUAAAAUAAGGCUAUGUACUGAUCGGCUGUUAAGUUAGUUUACAGAACUGGAGAAAAACUUAAUGAAUGAGUUUAUCAGUUUCUUAGGACUGUCAUUACAAAUUACCACAAACUUGCUGUCUUACAACAAUAGAAAUUUAUUCUCUCACAGUUCUGGAGCCAGAAGUUCAAAAUCAAGAUAUUGUCAGGGCCACACUUUGGCCAAAGGCUUUGGGUGAAAAUUCUUCCUUGCCUUUCUCCUAGCUUCUGGUGGCUAUUGGCAUUGCUUGGUGUGUGGCAGCAUAAUUCAAAUGUCUUCCUCUGUCUUUACAUUGCCUUCUUCCUUAGAUGUCUCUGUGUCCACAUGUUCCUCUCUUUUCUCUUAUAAACAUCCAAGUUAUUGAAUUUAGAAACUAUCCAAAAUCUAGGAUGCUUUCAUGUUGAGAUCUUUAACUAAUUACAUCUGCAAACACUCUGCUUCAAAAAAAAUUACAUUUUGCAGUCUAUGUGUAUGUGAAUUUUAGGAGGAUACCUUUCAACACAUUGUAACAAAUUAUAUACAGUUGAAGAAAGAAUAAAACCUUUGGAGAAUGUGCAAAAGAACAGUCAAAGCACAGAAAAGCAAAAGAAAAAAAAGAAAAGAAAAAAGUGCGGCCGUGGGGGAGGAAAAACAUCAAAAUUAGGAU